GACGUAGGGCGCGAGCGUUGUCCGGAAUUAUUGGGCGUAAAGAGCUCGUAGGCGGCUUGUCACGUCGGGUGUGAAAGACCGGGGCUUAACCCCGGUUCUGCAUUCGAUACGGGCUGGCUAGAGUGUGGUAGGGGAGAUCGGAAUUCCGUGGUGUAGCGGUGAAAUGCGCAGAUAUCGGGAGGAACACCGGUGGCGAAGGCGGUUCUCGGGCCUGACUGACGCGAGGAGC
rnacentral:rRNA from 1 species